rnacentral:rRNA from 1 species
AUGGAUAACGCUAGGAAACUGGUGCUAAUACUGGAUAUGUGCUCCUGCUGCAUGGUGGGGUUGGAAAGCUCCGGCGGUUGUGGAUGGACUCGCGGCCUAUCAGCUUGUUGGUGGGGUAGUGGCCUACCAAGGCGGCGACGGGUAGCCGGCCUGAGAGGGUGACCGGCCACAUUGGGACUGAGAUACGGCCCAG